UCUUGGUCAUUUAGAGGAAGUAAAAGUCGUAACAAGGUUUCCGUAGGUGAACCUGCGGAAGGAUCAUUAUUGAAAUAAACCUGAUAAGUUGUUGCUGGUUCUCUAGGGAGCAAUGUGCACACUUGUCAUCUUUAUAUUUUCACCUGUGCACCUUUUGUAGACCUGACUAUCUCUCUGAAUGCUUUAUAGCAUUCAGGAUUGAGAAUUGACUUCUGGUCUCUUCUUACAUUUUCAGGUCUAUGUUUCUUCAUAUACCCUAAUGUAUGUUUAUAGAAUGUAAUUAAUGGGCCUUUGUGCCUAUAAACCUUUACAACUUUCAGCAACGGAUCUCUUGGCUCUCGCAUCGAUGAAGAACGCAGCGAAAUGCGAUAAGUAAUGUGAAUUGCAGAAUUCAGUGAAUCAUCGAAUCUUUGAACGCACCUUGCGCUCCUUGGUAUUCCGAGGAGCAUGCCUGUUUGAGUGUCAUUAAUAAUAUCAACCUUUUUGGUUGGAUGUGGGUCUGCUGGCCUCUUGAGGUCAGCUUCCCUUAAAUGCAUUAGCGGACAACAUUUUGCCAACCGUUCAUUGGUGUGAUAAUUAUCUACGCUAUUGACGUGAAGCAAGGUUCAGCUUCUAAUAGUCCAUUGACUUGGACAAGCUCUCUUUUUAUUAAUAUGACCUCAUC
rnacentral:rRNA from 1 species